UGUCUCCCUUAUCCCGCAGGAAGCGCUCCACACCAUUCGUUCCUUUUCCUUAUCCCCUCGUUCAUCUCCUUCCCAUGUGGCUCUCCCAAAUAAAUUCUCGCUGGUGAUGACCGCCGUCGUCCACCAGCCCGCGAUGCUCCGGUGAGUGGCCACCAUCCACCCGCCCCGCGCUGCUCCGGCGGGCAUCCGCCCAUCCACCACCGCAGCCGUGCGGCAACCCAAGCUUGCGGCGCGGAGUGGGGUGCUUCAACCGGCGGCGACCAUGCUACAACGGCGGCGAGCGGGAGUGGCAGCCGGUCGCGACUGAGGAUGACCGUAGGCUGCCACCGGGUGCUGCAACCGACAAGCAAUUUUGCUGGAACAACGGCAACAAGUGUGGCAGAUCCGAUGAACAAGGGAAGGCCAUGGAGUUGAUUUGCUGGGGCGGUGGACGGCGGUGGUGGCGGAGCUGCAACGACGGUUGGUGGUGGGGAUGCGAUUGUGUGCCCCCGUGCUGCAACCACGGGGCGGUUGGGAGUUCCAACGAUGACCUCGGGCAUGACGGUGGUGACCUCGCGCGCGACGACGACGACUUGUUUGCGGCGCGCUGGCACGAGCCACCGACGGCAAGCGCAGGUCACGGGGCGGCCGACGAGCGCAUUGUUGUGCGGCCGUGUGGGAGGCCGGGAGUGCGGAUGAAGACGACCAGAUGCGCUGGGUCGCGUUGGGCUCUAUCCUCUUUUUUUCUGCGAGAUGAACGCAAGAUCAUACGGUCUGAAAGCGAUGUAUCGUGUGGUAGGGCAGCGACCUUGGCCGGUGCGCCGGCGCCUAUCACUCGCCAGGCCACUGGACAAAUUUGAAAUAGCUUAACUAGUCAGAUGUGUCGCAAAUUAUAAGAUGGAUGGAUGGCACCAAUAGACCACGAUUGCUAGGCCAGUUAAUUAAUAAUACCCUGUCCGGCAAAUAGAGAUAUAGCUAUAUAUCCCAAAUUAAUAUAUCCUGGCAGAACAGAGAGAGCUAACCAUGUACAUAUAUAUA